GUGCCAGCCGCCGCGGUAAUACGGAGGGUGCAAGCGUUACUCGGAAUCACUGGGCGUAAAGCGCGCGCAGGCGGCCCGAUAAGUUGGAUGUGAAAGCCUACGGCUCAACCGUAGAACUGCAUCCAAAACUGUCGGGCUAGAGUCUGGGAGGGGAAGAUGGAAUUAGUUGUGUAGGGGUAAAAUCCGUAGAGAUAGCUAGGAAUACCAAAAGCGAAGGCGAUCUUCUGGAACAGUACUGACGCUGAGGCGCGAAAGCGUGGGGAGCAAACAGGAUUAGAUACCCUGGUAGUCCACGCAGUAAACGAUGAAUGUUAGUCGUCGGGGGCCUAGUGUCUUCGGUGAUGCAGCUAACGCAUUAAACAUUCCGCCUGGGGAGUACGGUCGCAAGAUUAAAACUCAAAGGAAUAGACGGGGACCCGCACAAGUGGUGGAGCAUGUGGUUUAAUUCGAAGAUACGCGAAGAACCUUACCUAGCCUUGACAUAUUUUAGAACUCCGUAGAGAUACAGAGGUGCCUUCGGGAGCUAAUUUACAGGUGCUGCACGGCUGUCGUCAGCUCGUGUCGUGAGAUGUUGGGUUAAGUCCCGCAACGAGCGCAACCCUCGUCACUAGUUACUAACGGUUCGGCCGAGGACUCUAGUGAGACUGCCUUCGUAAGGAGGAGGAAGGUGAGGACGACGUCAAGUCAUCAUGGCCCUUACGGCUAGGGCAACACACGUGCUACAAUGGCCAGGACAGUGAGACGCGAUACCGUGAGGUGGAGCAAAUCUAUAAACCUGGUCUCAGUUCGGAUUGUAGUCUGCAACUCGACUACAUGAAGCUGGAAUCACUAGUAAUCGUAGAUCAGCUAUGCUACGGUGAAUACGUUCCCGGGUCUUGUACUCACCGCCCGUCACACCAUGGGAGUUGAUUUCACCCGAAGCGGGGAAGCUAAACUGGCUACCCUCCACGGUGGAAUUAGCGACUGGGGUGAAGUCGUAACAAGGUAACC
rnacentral:rRNA from 1 species